UACGGAGGGUGCAAGCGUUAUCCGGAUUCACUGGGUUUAAAGGGUGCGUAGGCGGGUAAGUAAGUCCGUGGUGAAAUCUCUGAGCUUAACUCAGAAACUGCCGUGGAUACUAUUUGCCUUGAAUAUUGUGGAGGUGAGCGGAAUAUGUCAUGUAGCGGUGAAAAUGCUUAGAUAUGACAUAGAACACCAAUUGCGAAGGCAGCUCACUACACAAUCAUUGACGCUGAGGCACGAAAGCGUGGGGAGCGAACAGG
rnacentral:rRNA from 1 species